rnacentral:ncRNA from 1 species
ACCCAGUACGAGAGGAACCGUUGGUUCAGAUAAUUGGUAACUGCGGUUAGCUGAAAAGCUAGUGCCGCCAAGCUACCAUCCGUAGGAUUAUGGCUGAACGCCUCUAAGUCAGAAUCCAUGCUGGAAUAGACGAUAAUCACCUUUCCCGAUGUACCGCGAAUAGCGAUAGGUGUCUUCUGGGCACCCAACAUCAUACAAUUGCAACGCACUCCUCUGCCUGUCAAGUACUGGUGGUGGUGAGUAGGCUGAUUUGUAAUUUCAAAUAUUGGGAAAGAUAAAUCCUUUGUAGACGACUUAACUAAAGAACGGGGUGUUGUAAGCAUGAGAGUAGUCUUGUACUACGAUCUGCUGAGAUUUAGCCCUUGUUCUAUUGAUUUGU